rnacentral:snoRNA from 1 species
ACUCUCUCAGUUCUGCACAGCCACAGUUGGCUUCAUCUGUGUGACUUUGUAAUGGGGAGCGAGAGAAAAGAUCUCAGGACCUCAGACUGGCCUUAUGGUGGCCUCUCUUUCCUUGAGAGGCCUCUUCUU